AUGGCAAUUGUUUUGAGAUAUCUUAGCAAGCGUGGAUUUAUCAUUGAACGGUUAGUUGGAAUUGAACAUGUGAAGGAAACAUCAGCGACUUGUCUCAAGGCUACUCUUCAAAAAAUAUUCACUGAUAUUGGAUUAAGCAUAAAGCAGGUUAGAGGCCAAUGCUAUGAUGGGGCUAGUAAUAUGCGCGGUGAGUUUAAUGACUUGAAAGCAAAGACUAUGCAAGAGAAUAAGAUCUCAAUUUUAUUCAAUGUGGUUGGAGCUUCUUGCAAAAGAAAGGAUAUGAUUAAAGAGAAACAUCGAGAGGAGGUAAUAAAAGCCAUAGGUCGUGGGCAGAUUAGCACUGGCACAGGGCUAAAUCAAGAACAAACUCUUCAAAGAGCCGGUGACACACGUUGGGGAUCACACUAUAGGACUCUUUCAAGUCUAGUGAAAAUUUUCCUAUCGGUUAAGUCUGUUCUGAAAUAUGUUGAGAAAGAAGGCAAAAGUGAUAAGAAAUGUUAGGCAUGUGGUCUUGUAUCAUAUUUUGAGACCUUUGAUUUUGUUUUUUAUUUGCACAUGAUGUUGCAUAUAUUGGGAAAUGCAAAUACUUUGUCGCAGUCUUUACAAAGGAAGGAUCAAGACAUCUUGAAAUGA
rnacentral:rRNA from 1 species